UCUGAAUAAAGUAAUUUACAUGAUACAGCUGAGCAUCAGAAGGGAGGUGAUAACUCACAAAUACAGUCACUGGUAAGAAGAUUACCUUCACAACGGUCUACAUCAUGGACAUUUCUAACAGGUCAGAGAAUAAAAACUUUUGU